AAUAUAAACCUCAGUCAUAUUUUAACCGCUUGUGGACACAGCUUCAGAAGUUAUAGACCAGCAUGACAGAAAAUUUCCGUCAUGUGUUCUUAUCGGAUUAAAGCCAAAUAUAAAAUGCUAGGAACACUGGGGAGGACAGUGUCAACAUUCGCCAGUUAAUAAUAAUAAGUUUCUGGCCCGGUUGAUGUGGGGUACUUAAAAGGAUCCUCUGAGCACAAAACCGUAUUUAGCCUAAUGAAACCAUUUUGUGUAUAGAUCAUGCCUCUGUGGUCUCACUGCUUAAUUCUCUGCCAUUUAGGAGUUAAAGGGAUCCUUUAUAUUGGCCUUCCCGCCACAAUCUUAUUAGUGAGGUGCUGCCCUGUAUGAGAACACUUCCCCAAGCAAGCCAAACCUUCUCCGUGACACCAACACGCUGAUUUGACUAAAUAAAUAGUGUGUGGCAGGCAAUCCAAAACAUAUUCCAAAAUUUGGUGUCCCUGUAAUAAGGAAAUAAAAAAUAAAGGUCUUAUUUUAGCAAUAAACCCAGGUGGUUUAUCAUCAAAGUGAAAUGUUUUGACUCUAUGUAUCUUUCUCACGCCUUGAAUGGAGUAAUGUCCUGUAGCAGGGCCUGCUUUAGAGAGUUACCAUAGCAACCACAGUGCAUACACUGUGGUUGCUAUGGCUGGAGAGCAGGAGGACUGCGUGUGGGAGGUAAUUUCUUCUCUUAAUGUCCAAUUCUUUGUCAUAGAAUGUAUGCCAAGAAUUGUUUGAUAUGUGGGAAAGGUUUUUCUCUCACUCAUUUAUACAUUGUUGGCAAAACUACUAGUACAAUGUGUAGAUAAAAUGUUACUGUUUUCUGUGAUAUCAUACAACCUCCAUGCACAAAAUGAUUCAAUUUUCAAUCUUACGACUCAGAGUGUUUACUUUAGAGGUUCUUAUCUCCUGCUCUGUUACUAGAACUUUAUUCAUACACAGGGGCUCAUUUAGGCUCUAGCAGGCAAACAGAGCAGGACAUAAAUUAAUCACCCUGUGCAUGAAGGAAAUGUACAAAUUUAGAUCUCUCCUUACAGGAUGUAGGUAAGGAGGCUGUGUCGCAUGCAGGGUGUAGGUAUGGUUAGGGCCACAAAAACAGUGGUUUCGCUCCACAAUUGCAGAGAAUAGAGCAGUGACAAACCAGGUUCAUGCUUUACCCAUCGAAAUCACUUCAUUAAGCUAAAGGUUUGGUGUCUAGAGUGUCCCUUUAACGUGGGACGGUCCUCCCUUCGUAUCAGAAAACUGACAAAAUGUUGAUCAAAACAAAUGACCCCCCACUUCACUUUGUUAAAUAUUUUUCUUUAUUUUACGAUCAUAAUAAAAC